GAUGUUAAUUUUCUACCUUAUUGAAGAAUAAUAUGACUUCUGGAAAUAUUAUGAAAAAUAUAAAAAAUUCAAUAUAGCUUAGAAUUUCGGCAAUAAAGUUUGUUCUGAAUAGUUCUUUGAAACAUAACACAUUAUAAGACAUUUCAUUUUGAUAAACUGAUGACCUCGCUCCUUGCAGUGUGUCAGGUGAAAUAACAAAAAAAUCAUUACUCCCCAUGGUUUUUUAUUGUUUCGAAUGCUAAAAAAAUAUAUAAACAUCGUUUUAAGAAUAAAGAAUAUUAUCUUCUAACACACUAUACAACUAUUCAUUGAAUAUUUAUUAAAAAAAUUAUUAUAACUGAUUAUGAUAUUAAUUUAGGAAAAAAGUUAAGCAAAAUAAAAUAAUAAUGUUGAAGAUCUUACUUUAAAGUGAAUACUUUCAAUAAAAUGUCAAAGUUGAUACAAAGUUUCUAUAUUCCAGUGCUUCUAGUUUCCAUGACGAGUUCUGCCGAAGAACUGACGGUGUAAGUAUUCUUGAAGAACAACAGAGGAAUCUUGAAACCUUGCUGGUUACCACGUUGCCCUGACGAAGACUAGAGGGGACGUUAAAGCGUCUUUACAAUUCAUUGGUUACUGGCUGGCCCUGUCUCAAGCCCUCAAACCAUUCCUUCUUUCUUCUUCAUCUUGUAUAGUUACCACCUUGCCAUGCUAAUGAAAAUUCCACCACGCACGUCAAGUUAUGAUAAUCUUGGGAGGGAUGUUUAGCUGUAAAAGAUAACCUAAGCAGAAUUAUUUGAUAUUGAUGGCUGUUGAUGAAUAUCAAUAUUUAGAAGUGUUACACUAAUUAAUAAUUAGAUAUUAAUAGCUAAAAAACUUUAAUAAUGGUAAUUAAUUAAUGAUAUAACUAGUAUAAGAGUUAAAUAUUAAUCAAUUGUUAAGGUUACUAUCCCAGAAAAUUGAUGUGAAAAAAUUAUUAAAAAGAUUUGCAGACAAAGAUAUGAAGAUAGAUUGCAUGAGCACGCGCAUGAGGACUCGUCCGUGACUUCCGGUGUUGUUGGUGGUGGAUUUCGUGUGGCUACAGUUGACCGGAUAUGGUGAAGAAUUAAAGAAACCUGUGGCAUUAGUCAGGUCAUCAAGUUUCUCAUGCCAAUCACGCAAUGCCUGUACUAAAUACCAUCUUAACGUAUUGGUGAUAUAUACUUAAUGAAAAUAGAUAUUAAAAGACACUCUCAAAUUUUGAUACUGUAAUUGACGAAUCCACAAGUGCAUUUGACGCUGUUACUUUUAUUUCCUGUCAACCAACCAAGUUUCUCAAUCAUUAUUACUUAUCAUAACUUACUUUUUUCCAAAUAAUCACUUAGGAAUGCUUUCAAUAAUUUUAAGUUAACAAUUUUUUACUCCAAAUUAAAUGAAUUAAAUUUUUGAAUACAUCAAAGGCUCAAAAUACUUGAAAAAGAUAUUCAAAUUCUUCAAUUGUCAAUUCUCGUCACGUUGUCGUCAGGAAUGCGUCGAAGAGAUCAUUGAUCACUUCAUUUGAUUAAAAACAAUCUUCUUUUAUUGACUCCAAGGUAUAAAGAAUCAAAUAAUGACUUAAUUAGUAAGCAAGUCGAAGCAAUCAUGUGUCCAUUUAUCAGAGAAAGUACUUUUAUAUUAAUGGUAACUUCUAACAAUGCUUUCGCGUUUAUUCUCUUGGUCUCUUUUAUUGUUCUGAAUAGUCUUAGACUAUUUGCCGGCGUCAGGUAGUGAGGACCCAUAGGGAAUAAUUAAUCAGUACGCCGAACACGUAGGGUGCGCACAUAAGUCCAUAAAAAGUUUGUGAAUACGAAAAGGAACGUUGAUGUAUGUGCUUCAUCCGGUCCAUCAAACUUAGUUCACUAUAAAAUUUUAAAUUUUUUAUUUUAAAUAAAAUUAUUUUUCAACUUAAAAAUAAAAAGGAAAAUAUUAUUAAAAAUUAUUCUAUAGUUUUCCAUAACUUUUUGAAUGAUUCAUUUCAUUGUAAAGUUGCUUUUGUAAUGAGGACAAAGCUUUUCUUACUUCUUCAGGCGCGGCUAAUCGUUGAGGAAAAAAAAAAGUGAAAAAGAAAAAAUAAACACGAAAAAAGAGAACAUAAAUAUACAUAUAUGAGUAAGAAAACUGAUAAAGAAAAGCUACAAAGUCACGUUAAGGUGUCAUGAACGAAGACAAAAUAUAUUCAUAGAUAUAUUGUUAUGCUUUCGAUACAUAUGUCUAUAUAUAAUAUUCAUGAAGUCAGUUUCAAAUAAAAUAUAUUUAUGUAGAGAUAUCAGCAGGUGAAAACAUUUAUCUUUUGAGAUCAUUCCAGAAAAAGUUUAUCAUUAAUACGUGUUAAAUUUGAAAAAAAUGAAUGAUCUGUCUUUAAUUUCCUUAACACGUACUCUAAAAACUAUGUUUAUAUUAAUUCAUAGCUCAAGUAAGUGAUUGUAUGAUACAUAACAUAUGAUAAAACACGAAAUAAGAUAACAGCUUGAGUAUAAAAUUAGAGAUAACAAUAAUGACCAUUUUUUUCUUAGGAUGAAUAGAAACAUCGUAAAUAUCAAUUGGUUUUUUUUUUUUUUUUUAAUAAUUAACAAUCAUAACAAAAGAUACUUUUAAAUCCAUUGAGAGAUAAUAAUUGCAUGAAUUUGCUAUUCAAAAGGUAAAUUCAAUUAAAAAAAAAAGAGAUGAACUGGAAUAGAGAAAAUUGAUUAUGACACCUUCGUGUAAUAUUUAGAAUAUUUGAAAAAAUUUUAAAUAAAAGUAGGCCGUGUAAAUGAAACAGAUCCGUCAUUAUUGCCUAGAAGACUUGGAAACGUGCUAAUUGACAAACAAACAGGUACAGUAUUUCUGUGUGAACUCAUUGCAGGAACAUUGAAAGAAAAAGCCACUGUGAAGGUUGAGGAUGAAAAAAUAAUUAUACACUUACUUGAAAAAAAAAAAAAAUAAUAACAAUAAAUAUCUGAAGCAGUAAUUUGGUUAUAAUUAAGAAAAAUUUGAUAUAAAUUAAAUUCUACAACCACAAAUUUCAAUCAAUUAAAUGAUGAUACUAUCAGAUAAUAUGAUAUUGCGAAUCAGAUGAUCGGUAGUUGAUUAGAAGAAGCUAGUUAAUAUUGAUUAGCAGGAAGAGAACUUGUUUUAAAUCUAACUAGAAAAGAAUUCGUGAUGGUAAUUUUGCUGUUGCAUUCACUCACACGUCCUCGCUAAUUCUACAAUAAUUUUACGGGAAUAAUUAAGUCGAGUUCAAACCCACGUGGUAACUAGUUACAUCUAAAGAAUAAUUUGAAUACGUUCAUACUCUUCAUUUAAAUAUUUUUUUUAUAAAUAGCUAUUUUUAUUUUAAAUAAUAUUUAUUUAUUCUAAUAAAAAUAAUUAUUAAUAAUGAUAAAAAAAAAAUACCUUUUUCAUUGUCAAAGUAGAUAUUAGUUUCAGAUCACGAGAUAAACACUGUCAAUUUUACAGUUUUAAAAACGAUUCAUGAGUGAAAAAAUGAACGUGUCGUACUUGAGCACCGUCAGCGAACGACUCUCGUUGAAUUUGUUCGAAGAGUUGAGGCGAGAAAGAGACAAAGAGUUGAAUAUAUGACAAAGAGACUCGAAUCGCAACGACCAGGAAAUCGGUCUCGCCUUACCGGACACCAGUACGUCAAUAUUGACGCAUUUCUUAUGAGACACGAAACCUUUUGAGAUGUCCAACUAAACCAUUAACUUCUUUUGGGAAAAAACUUGGCCUUAAAAAAAUAAUAAAAAUCGACAGCAAAAUAUUCUUUCGAUGACGGACAAAUUGAAAUAAAUUGAGAACAAAAAAUAUUUCAAACUGAUAAUAUUUUUAGUUAACCGUCAUGGUAUAGAUAAAAAAGCUGCAAAUAUGCAAUGGCAAUACGCAACCGGAUUCCUGUGGAAAAAGCCGGAAAUUAGCCGAACAUUUAGCUUCCGUUGAAUGCAUGAUAUGAUAAAAGAAUCAAUCUGGGAACGUCUCAAAUGGCCUACUUUAUCAAUUAGAUGUCAAACAUAAAAAAGUUUAACAAUUAUUAGUAUCAAUUGACACAUUUCAACGAUUCAUUUGAAUUAAUUUAGCAACAAUUAACAAUGAUGUGUAAUGAAGAAAACAUGAUUGAAAAUAGAACAAUAACAAUUCAAAAAUAUCUUCUUCAUGAUCAAUAACUUAUUUGUUCCUAUUUAUAGUAUUUGUAACGCAAUUAUUGUUUACUAACUAUAAUAAAUAUUAAACACUUUUAUUUUUUACAAAAAUUUUUAUUGUUAGUAGUUUCAUUAAAA